CGAGUCCAUUCCCCCCAACACGAAAAUUAUUCACGAAAAGCCCCGUCAAUCACGCUAAGCCACGCCCAUCACCUGUAAUAUAUUCAAGAGCGCUCACGCUCAUUGGCUGUUAGGAUUUAACCACGCCCCUUAACCACUCCCUACCUCCCCCCCUUCCCCUCAGCACUCGCCUCCUGUUCCGCCCGCAGCGCGCGCGCGUCGCGUUUCCUCCGCUCCACCUCGGCCGCCGCCUCGUCCCGCCGCACCCGCGCCACAUUGUCUUUGUUCCGCACGUGCCACGACUUCUUCGGGAGGAUGUUCAUGGCGGCGGCGGCGGCGGCGGCGGGGCCGGCAGCGGCACCAGGCCGCGACUCUAAAGCACGGAGCCUGCACCGCGCUCCUUUCCGCCUUCUCGGUUCUGAUUGGUCGAGGCCGCUGUCGCUCCGCUCUUAACUCGCUCUCUGAUUCGUUCGGGCUUUUAGCUCCGCCCCUUGGCCGCUCUGAUUGGCUGAGAGUUAUAAUCCCGCCUUCUUCCCGCCUCUGAUUGGCUCGCUCGCCUCCCUCAGCGGGGCGAAGCCGGAAGUGGAGGUUUCCCGCCCUCUCGCAUGGUGGGAGCGCCGCCAUAUUGAACCAAUCUCCUUGGGAACUCCCGGCCCCAGUUCUUUCCGGAUUUCAAGGGUUUGCUGCAAGAUUUGCCUCAUUUCCCCCAAAGAUUCACCUCAGGGCCUUGGUGGUCCGGCAGGAUCAGGGCCGUGGCCGCCGCCAGGAUGAGCAGGGGCACAAGAUGGAGGCAGAAAUGCACCGAGGCCCAAAAUCGCAGCGUGGCCUCGGCCUCCCGCAGCACGAAACCCAUGCUCAGGCUGCUCCACGGAGAGGUCAAUUUGCACCCCCAAAAUUCGGUUUGUGCCCCCCGAAUUCCCUAAAGCUCAGCUCCCAGUGCCUCAGUUUUCAUCUUUAUCCCUCUCCCAGUGCCUCCCAGUGUCCCCAGUUCCUCCCAGUGCCCCCAAAU
rnacentral:lncRNA from 1 species